AUUGUCUCCUGUAUCUGUUGGUGUGGUUGUGUUUAUUUCUAUUUUAUUUGAUGGGUAAUAUGUAAACAAAAAUUAUUGUUAGUUGUAUUUAUCAAAGUUUGUAACCUACUCUGUUUUUUUGUUUAGGUAAUUUCACUGAUCUUGGUUGUCGUCUUCGUAAGCAUCUGCGAAAGUAAGUUUGUAAAUUGUUAAAUAGCUGGCCUUGUAGUUUGUAUUUGUUUAGCUGGCUCAAUGUAUGUGUCGUUGAGUUUUAGUUGAGUCGAUUGGUUUGUUAUAUUUGUUUUGAAGUUUAUUUGUAAGAUUAGACAAAAAGAGAGUUGAUCAUUAAUGAUUCUGUCUUUUUUUGGGAUUCUAGUUUUUGGUGUUUUGAUUGUUUGGGUUAUUGUGGUUUCUUUUAAGCUGUAAAAUAAAGAUUUGUGUAAAAUUAGAUUGAUAAGUAAGAGAGAUAAAUAGACGACCACAAAUCUUGGGUAUGAAAUAUUUUUGAUUAUUGAUGUUAGCACAAUAUAGACAGUAAUAUAAAGGGAAUUAUGUGUUGAUUGUUUCUUACGUAUCAAUGAGGAGACAGAUAACGACUCGAGUUAUUUCUUUGGUGAGGGCAGAGCCCUGGACAGAACGGAUUUGCCCAACCACAUCUGAGAGUUUAAAUAUCAGUUAUGAUAUCGAAACUUAAUAUAAACCCAGUUGCAAUAUGAUAAUAUACAUGAGAGUUCUAGGUUUGUGUUCGCAAUCACUUGGAGAUUGUCGAACAAUCUAAUCUCGACAAGAGAUUGAUCUCAGGAGCACCCAUGAUGACUUCAUCAAUAAUGGUUAGUGAGAUGAAACCAAUGAGGAAUGGAUGAUCAGUUAUCUUGUACAUGCUUAGCACCUAGCAACCUCAAAACGAUCGACUUUCACAAUGAAACCUGCUUUCAAAGAUGACAUGUAAUGAUUAGCACGUCCGACGGGAGUAAACCCAUGAAUCAUGAAAUUUGCAAAUAAUAUUAUUCAACAAAGAAUCAGGAAAUCAAUUAAAACAAUUAUGUUAAAUAAGUGUGAUAGAUCAGAGAUUAACUUACAUUUUCAUCAAGGAAGAGAACCGUGAUUCCCACAAAGUCUCUAUCUUUCUUGAAGUUCAGGGAAUCCCAGAAUUGGAGGAAGCCAGAGGCUAUGCUAUGACAACUACGACCAAGACGGAGAGACUCGAAGGUUGAGUGACGGACGCCGAGACGCCGGUUUAACGAACUGGAGAGGCAAAGAGAAACAUUUUCUAGAAGAUGGUUAAAGCUAAGAGGAAUCAAUGAGUUUUGUGGAGAUGCAGAUUGGGUUCAUCAAAGAAGAAAAUCAUAUAUAUAUGGUUUACAGAGUGGCUACAAAUCAUGAACAAAUAUGAUCACGCGAUUUAAGAUGUGGACAUGAAGAGUUCACCGGUGAAAAAAUAGAUUACGAACAGACACAC
rnacentral:lncRNA from 1 species